UGGGGAAUUUUGCACAAUGUGGGAAACCCUGAUGCAGCGACGCCGCGUGAUUUAGAAGGCCUUCGGGUUGUAAAAAUCUUUUCUAUGGGAAGAAAAUGACAGUACCAUAGGAAUAAGGACCGGCUAAUUACGUGCCAGCAGCCGCGGUAAUACGUAAGGUCCGAGCGUUGUCCGGAAUCAUUGGGCGUAAAGGGUACGUAGGCGGGUAAGCAAGUUAGAAGUGAAAUCCUAUAGCUCAACUAUAGUAAGCUUUUAAAACUGCUCAUCUUGAGGUAUGGAAGGGAAAGUGGAAUUCCUAGUGUAGCGGUGAAAUGCGCAGAUAUUAGGAGGAAUACCGGUGGCGAAGGCGACUUUCUGGCCAUAACCUGACGCUGAGGUACGAAAGCGUGGGUAGCAAACAGG
rnacentral:rRNA from 1 species